UACGGAGGGGGCUAGCGUUGUUCGGAAUUACUGGGCGUAAAGGGCGCGUAGGCGACUUAGUAAGUUGGUAGUGAAAUCCUUGGGCUUAACCCAAGAACUGCUAUCAAAACUGCUAAGCUAGAGAUUGAUAGAGGGUGAUGGAAUUCCUAGUGUAGAGGUGAAAUUCUUAGAUAUUAGGAGGAACACCAGAGGCGAAAGCGAUCAUCUGGGUCACAUCUGACGCUGAGGCGCGAAAGCGUGGGGAGCAAACAGG
rnacentral:misc_RNA from 1 species